rnacentral:rRNA from 1 species
UUCCUACGGGAGGCAGCAGUGAGGAAUAUUGGUCAAUGGGCGCGAGCCUGAACCAGCCAAGUCGCGUGAGGGAUGACGGCCCUACGGGUUGUAAACCUCUUUUGUCGGGGAGCAAAUUUCGCCACGUGUGGCGGAGUCGAGAGUACCCGAAGAAAAAGCAUCGGCUAACUCCGUGCCAGCAGCCGCGGUAAUACGGAGGAUGCGAGCGUUAUCCGGAUUUAUUGGGUUUAAAGGGUGCGUAGGCGGGAUGCCAAGUCAGCGGUCAAAUACGGGGGCUCAACCUGCGUCCGCCGUUGAAACUGGCG